GCUUCGCGAUCUUGGGGGACCCAUUCCGAACUUGCAGAGGACCGUGGCUCUCCUGGCCUGGAGAGUGUGAACAGGAUUGUGGACUCUUCCAAGAUUUACAAUGAUAUGGUGAAUCCAAAGACUGGAACCAAAAAGAUUUACUCAGUGCUUUAGUUUUAACAACAGUAAAUUGUCUACCAACACCCAUCAUGGCUAAAAGUGCGGAGGUCAAACUGGCAAUAUUUGGGAGAGCAGGCGUGGGCAAGUCAGGUAAGAUUUUCGUUGUGGUUGUUAUAGUGUGUGUGUGUGUGUGGGUGAGUGUGUUUCUUUAUUACUGUUUCUUGGGAUUGGGCAGGUGAGUAGUUGGUAUUCCUCCUAUUUUCAUUUCUUACUCUUUUAGAUAAAGUCUCUUCAUGUAGAACUUUUAUUUUGCGUAAUCGACUGUUACGUAUCCUUUUGCUUAUUUAUGUUGAAGUAGCUUUGCUGAUAACACACAAGAUAAAGGAUAUAUCAGAGGUCUUGGCAUUCUGAUUUUUAACAACCUCCAAAGAAAUCAGAUGAUGGAAAUUUAAAAAUAUAUAUUUGUUCUUUUCUCUAUGUAUGAGAU
rnacentral:sRNA from 1 species